rnacentral:rRNA from 1 species
GACGAACGCUGGCGGCGUGCUUAACACAUGCAAGUCGAACGGAAAGGCCCUGCUUUUGUGGGGUGCUCGAGUGGCGAACGGGUGAGUAACACGUGAGUAGCCUGCCCUUGACUUUGGGAUAACUUCAGGAAACUGGGGCUAAUACCGGAUAGGAGCUCCUGCUGCAUGGUGGGGGUUGGAAAGUUUCGGCGGUUGGGGAUGGACUCGCGGCUUUCAGCUUGUUGGUGGGGUAGUGGCUUACCAAGGCUUUGACGGGUAGCCGGCCUGAGAGGGUGACCGGCCACAUUGGGACUGAGAUACGGCCCAGACUCCUACGGGAGGCAGCAGUGGGGAAUAUUGCACAAUGGGCGGAAGCCUGAUGCAGCAACGCCGCGUGCGGGAUGACGGCCUUCGGGUUGUAAACCGCUUUCGCCUGUGACGAAGCGUGAGUGACGGUAAUGGGUAAAGAAGCACCGGCUAACUACGUG